GUGGGGAAUAUUGGACAAUGGGCGAAAGCCUGAUCCAGCCAUGCCGCGUGUGUGAAGAAGGUCUUCGGAUUGUAAAGCACUUUAAGUUGGGAGGAAGGGCAGUAAGUUAAUACCUUGCUGUUUUGACGUUACCGACAGAAUAAGCACCGGCUAACUUCGUGCCAGCAGCCGCGGUAAUACGAAGGGUGCAAGCGUUAAUCGGAAUUACUGGGCGUAAAGCGCGCGUAGGUGGUUUUGUAAGUUGGAGGUGAAAGCCCCGGGCUCAACCUUGGAACUGCCUCCAAAACUGCAUGACUAGAGUACGGUAGAGGGUAGUGGAAUUUCCUGUGUAGCGGUGAAAUGCGUAGAUAUAGGAAGGAACACCAGUGGCGAAGGCGACUACCUGGACUGAUACUGACACUGAAGUGCGAAAGCGUGGGGAGCAAACAGGAUUAGAUAGCCGUGUAGUCC
rnacentral:rRNA from 1 species